rnacentral:lncRNA from 1 species
UAAUACAACAGUCAUCUUGGGAGUAUUUUUUUAUAUAUACCACAAGAUAAUCACAAAAUAACAAAGUGAUAUAAUUGUUGUAACAUAUUCACUGACAAAAUUAAUUGUGUUGAAUAAUUCAAGUAAAAAUUUUAUAAUGUAUGUAAUAGUAUUUUAUAUCAUUAGUCCUAAACACAGACUAUGAAUCAUGUGAAUCAGAAGCCGCAGACUAUGAAUCAUAUGAUGAAUCGGAAACUUCAGAGUCAAGUAUUGAUGUUGACACCAAUGACCAAGAAGAUGCUGCAUCCACUAAACCACAAAGCCUGUCCAAUGUUAUACGUUAAAUGAAACUGCUCUCUAGAAGUUAGAAUCUCAGACCUUGUAAGGGUUUCUUUUGGGAUUGAAGUUGUGUAGCUGUAGCUUUUAAGUUAGAGUAUUAAAGUAUUUAUUAAACAUUAGCUGUUGUGAUUUAGAAGUUAUGUUGAUAUGAUUUUUCACUUGUAUGAUAGAAAAU